rnacentral:rRNA from 1 species
UGCAAGUCGAACGAACCUUCGGGUUAGUGGCGGACGGGUGAGUAACGCGUGAGAAUCUGCCCUCAGGAGGGGGAUAACAGCUGGAAACGGCUGCUAAUACCCCAUAUGCCGCGAGGUGAAAUGAAUUUCGCCUGAGGAUGAGCUCGCGUCUGAUUAGCUAGUUGGUGUAGGUAAUGGCUCACCAAGGCAUCGAUCAGUAGCUGGUCUGAGAGGAUGAUCAGCCACACUGGGACUGAGACGCGGCCCAGACUCCUACGGGAGGCAGCAGUGGGGAAUUUUCCGCAAUGGGCGAAAGCCUGACGGAGCAACGCCGCGUGAGGGAUGAAGGCCUCUGGGCUGUAAACCUCUUUUAUCAAGGAAGAAGAUCUGACGGUACUUGAUGAAUAAGCCACGGCUAAUUCCGUGCCAGCAGCCGCGGUAAUACGGGAGUGGCAAGCGUUAUCCGGAAUUAUUGGGCGUAAAGCGUCCGCAGGCGGCCCUUCAAGUCUGCUGUUAAAAAGUGGAGCUUAACUCCAUCAUGGCAGUGGAAACUGAGGGGCUUGAGUGUGGUAGGGGCAGAGGGAAUUCCCGGUGUAGCGGUGAAAUGCGUAGAUAUCGGGAAGAACACCAGUGGCGAAGGCGCUCUGCUGGGCCAUCACUGACGCUCAUGGACGAAAGCCAGGGGAGCGAAAGGGAUUAGAUACCCCUGUAGUCCUGGCCGUAAACGAUGAACACUAGGUGUCGGGGGAAUCGACCCCCUCGGUGUCGUAGCCAACGCGUUAAGUGUUCCGCCUGGGGAGUACGCACGCAAGUGUGAAACUCAAAGGAAUUGACGGGGGCCCGCACAAGCGGUGGAGUAUGUGGUUUAAUUCGAUGCAACGCGAAGAACCUUACCAGGGUUUGACAUCCUGCGAAUCUCUUGGAAACGAGAGAGUGCC